rnacentral:rRNA from 1 species
GACGAACGCUGGCGGCGUGCUUAACACAUGCAAGUCGAACGGAAAGGCCCUGCUUUUGUGGGGUGCUCGAGUGGCGAUCGGGUGAGUAACACGUGAGUAACCUGCCCUUGACUUUGGGAUAACUUCAGGAAACUGGGGCUAAUACCGGAUAGGAGCUCCUGCUGCAUGGUGGGGGUUGGAAAGUUUCGGCGGUUGGGGAUGGACUCGCGGCUUAUCAGCUUGUUGGUGGGGUAGUGGCUUACCAAGGCUUUGACGGGUAGCCGGCCUGAGAGGGUGACCGGCCACAUUGGGACUGAGAUACGGCCCAGACUCCUACGGGAGGCAGCAGUGGGGAAUAUUGCACAAUGGGCGGAAGCCUGAUGCAGCAACGCCACGUGCGGGAUGACGGCCUUCGGGUUGUAAACCGCUUUCGCCUGUGACGAAGCGUGAGUGACGGUAAUGGGUAAAGAAGCACCGGCUAACUACGUG